rnacentral:rRNA from 1 species
UACGGAGGAUGCAAGCGUUAUCCGGAUUUAUUGGGUUUAAAGGGUGCGCAGGUUGUUUGAUAAGUCAGUGGUGAAAGUCUGUCGCUUAACGGUAGGAUUGCCAUUGAUACUGUUAGACUUGAAUAUGGAUGAGGUAGGCGGAAUGUGUAGUGUAGCGGUGAAAUGCAUAGAUAUUACACAGGACACCGAUUGCGAAGGCAGCUUACUAAUCCAUCAUUGACGCUGAGGCACGAAAGCGUGGGGAUCAAACAGGA